rnacentral:rRNA from 1 species
GCACAAUGGGCGCAAGCCUGAUGCAGCAACGCCGCGUGCGGGACGAAGGCCUUCGUGUUGUAAACCGCUUUUCUGGGGAAAGAGCAAGGACGGUACCUCAGGAAUAAGUCUCGGCUAACUACGUGCCAGCAGCCGCGGUAACACGUAGGAGGCGAGCGUUAUCCGGCGUUACUGGGCGUAAAGCGCACGCAGGCGGCUCUGUGAGUCGGACGUGAAAGCUCCCGGCUUAACCGUGGGAGGCCGUUCGAUACGGCGGGGCUGUGGGUAGGGGAAGGGAUGCGGAAUUCCCGGUGUAGGGGUGGAAUGCGUAAAUAUCGGGGGGAACACCUGUGGCGAAGGCGGCAUU